UCUUUCCUCUUAUCUACCUAUCUAGACUUGGAAAUAACUCAAGUUCAUUAUUGUUGCAUUCUGUUAGUUGCAUGCAAACCACUAAGGCCAGCUGAGCCCAGAUUCAAGGGGAGAAGACUUAGACUCAUCUCUUGAUUGCGGAAUGGCGAGGUCACCUGGCAUAAGAGAACGUUGGGUGGAAGAUACCUUUUGAAAAUAUUAUCUGUCAGAUAUAUGUAACACAUGUGUAUAUAUUUGUGCGUGUACUUGUAUAUACACACAGAGGUAGUUUUUUUCCCCCAAAGAACAAUAAUAUUAGUAAAUUAGUCUAAACUUUUUUUCUGUUAAAUUGUGGCAAUCAAUGUAUAUCAGUGUCAGUUCCUUCUUUCCUCCCUGUUACUUUUGUAGUACUGUACAUGGCUACUAUACACAAAAAUAUACCUUUAGACCAGGUAACCACUUGCGGGCAAAAUGACAGUUGCCACUUUAAAUGCUUGAAUUAGGAGGUCUACUUAGCUCUUUACCUUUAGUAAGUCAACCUUUAUAAAGAGGAAAGUAUUGUGGCUUCUCAGCCCUCAUCACUAAUCACAAAAAAAAGAACAAAGUAUCUUCUUUCUCCCUGUAAUUUGGAUGUGAUACAUAUAAUCCGAAUUCACUGUGAUCUCCCUAGAGCCCAUUAGCAGAUUACCAAUCCUUUUUUUAUCGUGACUUAUAUCCAGAAUUUCAAUGAAUAACCACACCCAUGUGCUCUUCACCAUUGGAGGAACAUUCCUGUCACAUGCUUAAAAUUAUAUUGAUAGUAGUCAGGUGCAAUUCUGAAUUUAACACAAGGACUUUGGAAUUAGUGUGGUGGUCUGUAAUGUGGGCCUAGGGCCAAGGAGAGAAAGGUGCCUCAUUCUGGUUAACCUCAGUUUGCUAUAAUGUGGUUAGGUUAAGAGAAGGCUUCAGCAGAUGAAUGACAUUUCUCAUUUUGUCUACCUGCUAUCAAUAGCAGUAGACAAGGUAAUUCUGAUCAAAUUCUGAGAAAACCAGAAAAUCUAAGUAAAAUUUACAAUAAAAACCUACUUGAAUGUAUAAGGAUAAAAUAAGAUAGAGAAUAAUUAUCAGGUGGAGAAGGGAGAGAAGAAAGAAAUCUAGAGAGCUAAAUAUGAAAUUUGGUGUUAUUUUUCCCAUGGGAGUGUUUCUGCCAUAAGCUGAGUAUUUGUAUGUCCCCCCAGAUUCAUUUUGAAACCUAAUACUCAUGUGAUAUAUGUUGGUUUGGCUUUUGAGAGAUGAUUAGGUCAUGAGGGUAGAGCCAUCAUAAAUGGGAUCGGUGCCCUUAUAAAGGAGGUUCCACAGAGCUCUGUCACUCAUCCUGCCACGUGAGGUUACAGCCAGAAGACUAUGAACAAGGAAGUAGUUUCUUACCAGACACUGAAUCUCUUGGUACCUUGAUCUUGGACUCCAGCCUCCAAAACUGUGAGAAAUAAAUGUUUAGUGUGUAUAAGCCACCCAGAGUAUGGUAUUCUGUUAUAACAGCCUGAGUGGACUAAGUCAGUUUCUAAUUUUAGAAGUGGUAGCUGAGAUGCUAUAUGAUUAUGCAAUACUUAUGACAUGUUGUUGCAGAUAUAAGAAUGAAAAAAUUGGAAUCCAGGGCCCACCAAAAGGGGUACCUAGUAAACUAUCAUGGUUUUGGAUUGAAUGGGUGGAGAGCUUCACUGACUGACACUUAAAGAAACCUUAGCCCAGAAUCCAGUCACCUUGAAAAUAGGUUGCCCGUUCCUUAAAAUGUUAAACAUAGAGUUGCCAUAUGACCUAGCAAUUCAUAUACCCUAGAGAAAUAAAAACAUAGAUCCACUAGGGGUGCCUGUAUGGCUCAGUCAGUUAAGCAUCUGACUUCAGCUCAGGUCAUGAUCUCAGGGUCCUGGGAUUGAGCCCUUCAUUGAGCUCUGCACUCAGUGUGGAGUCUGCAUCACCCUCUGCCCCUCCCCCACCUGUGCUCAUUCUUUUUCUCAAAUCUUUAAAAAACAUAUCCACAUAGAAACUUCUAUACAGAUAUUCAUAGUAGUAGUAUUUAUAAUAAUCAAAAGUGGAAAUAAUCCAAAGUGCAUCAGCUGAUGAAUGGAUAAGCAAAAUUGUAUAUACAUAUAAUAGAAUAUUAUUCAAUAAAAAGGAAUGAAGUACUGGUGCAUGCUACAAUGUGGAUGAACCUUGAGAACAUUAUGCUAAAUGAAAGAAUUCAGUCAUAAAUUGCCACAUAUUGUAUGAUUCCUUUUUUUAUAUUUUAUUUAUUUAUUGGAAAAAGAGAGGAGGAAAGAGAGAGAGAAUGUGCAGACAGGGGUGCAGAGGGAGAAGCAGACUCUGUUGCUGAGCAGGGAGCCUUGGGUGGGGCUUAAUCCCAGGACCCUGGAAUCACAACCCAAGACAAAGAGAUGCUUAACUGACUGAGCCAUCCAGGCUCCCCUAUAUGAUUCUUUUUGUAUGAAAUGUCUGGAAAAUGCAAAGCUUUGGAGACUAAAAGUAGAUAAGCAGUUGUGUAGGGUUGGGUAGGGAAUGGACAGUGAGUACUAAUUGAUAGGAGGUUUCUUUUCGGAAUAAUGAGAAUGUUCUAAUUUUGGAUUGUGGUAAAGGUUACAGAGCUCAAUGAAUAUAUCAAAAACUUUUGAACUGUACACAGUAAACAAAUGAAUUUCGUGAUAUGUAAAUCAUGUCUCAGAAACACUAUUCUUUAAAAAAACCUUUAUCUCAGUCCCUGAAUUUGGAUCAAGGUAUUUUGGAUUGCUGUUGCCUUUAGGCACUGGCAGAAAAACAAAACAAACAAACAAACAAAGUGAAAUUCUCUCUGGAGAAUGAAGAUUGUCAUAGGCCACAAAUUAAUUCUAAUUUUACAAAUAUAGUUUUAAACACAAUUUUAAAAGAAAUAGCUAGGCACACAAAGGGACAAGAUAACAUAAAUAAGAACCAGCAGAAAUAAUAAAUAUUAAGAUUAUAAAGACUCUAGCUAUUGGAGUUACCAGACAGAGACUUAGAAAACUGUGCUUAAUAGAUUUACAAUGAUAAAAGACAAGAUUUUUAAUUUUGGCAAAGAACUAGAAACUAUGGAAGACAUAAUGAAUUUGAAAAAGAACCAAAAGAUAUUUUAAUAUGAGAAAUAUAAUAAAUAUUUAAAACUCAGUAAAAUAAGAGUAAAACAAAGCACAACUGAAUAAAGAAUUAUCAAACUGAAAGGAAGUUCUGAGAAAAAACAUCCAGAAUAAAACACAGAGAUACAAAAUGAUGAAAAAUGUGAUGAGAAGAUAAAUGCAAAGAAGAUGCCAUGGGAAGGUCUAACAGACAUAUAAUCAAAGUUCUAGAAGCAAGUAUGAAAUGAAUGGGGCAGAAGAAAUGUUUGAACAUACGAAUGGUUGAAAAUUUGUCAAAUCUCAUGAAAGAGAUGAAGCUGCAAAUUCAAGAAUUGUUAUAAACUAAAAAGAAUUGUUAUAAACUAUAUGUAGAAUAGUAAUAGAAAUAUUAAUAACAAAUGCAUAUCAUAAAAAUUUGCUGAAAACCAAUGAUAAGUAAAAAA
rnacentral:lncRNA from 1 species